CCUACGGGAGGCAGCAGUCGAGAAUCAUUCACAAUGGGGGAAACCCUGAUGGUGCGACGCCGCGUGGGGGAAUGAAGGUCUUCGGAUUGUAAACCCCUGUCAUGUGGGAGCAAAUUAAAAAGAUAGUACCACAAGAGGAAGAGACGGCUAACGCUGUGCCAGCAGCCGCGGUAAGACAGAGGUCUCAAGCGUUGUUCGGAAUCACUGGGCGUAAAGCGUGCGUAGGCUGUUUCGUAAGUCGUGUGUGAAAGGCGCGGGCUCCACCCGCGGACGGCACAUGAUACCGCGAGACUAGAGUAAUGGCGGGGGGACCGUACGUCUCGGUGUAGCAGUGAAAUGCGUAGAUAUCGAGAGGAACCCUCGUGGCUAAGGCGGGUUCCUGGACAUUAGCUGACGCUGCGGCACGAAGGCCAGGGGAGCGACAGGGAUUAGAUACCCCAGUAGUC
rnacentral:rRNA from 1 species